UACGUAGGGUGCAAGCGUUGUCCGGAAUUAUUGGGCGUAAAGAGCUUGUAGGCGGUUUGUCGCGUCUGCUGUGAAAUUUCGGGGCUCAACCCCGAACUUGCAGUGGGUACGGGCAGACUAGAGUGUGGUAGGGGAGACUGGAAUUCCUGGUGUAGCGGUGAAAUGCGCAGAUAUCAGGAGGAACACCGGUGGCGAAGGCGGCCUGCUGGGCAGUUGCUGACACUGAGGCGCGACAGCGUGGGGAGCAAACAGG
rnacentral:rRNA from 1 species